rnacentral:rRNA from 1 species
UACGUAGGGUGCGAGCGUUAAUCGGAAUUACUGGGCGUAAAGCGUGCGCAGGCGGUGAUGUAAGACCGAUGUGAAAUCCCCGGGCUUAACCUGGGAACUGCAUUGGUGACUGCAUCGCUCGAGUAUGGCAGAGGGGGGUAGAAUUCCACGUGUAGCAGUGAAAUGCGUAGAGAUGUGGAGGAAUACCGAUGGCGAAGGCAGCCCCCUGGGUCAAUACUGAACGCUCAUGCACGAAAGCGUGGGGAGCAAACAGG